AUUCUGAUCAGGUACCAUAUAUCAUCGUGUAGCAGGACCUGGUACAAAAUCCGCCACCCUGGCUGCGUCCCUGGACUUCAGGAGCCGAGGCAGCGACAGUGGCUGUAGCCACAAAACCGAAAAUGACGCCUCUGGGUCCGCCAGAGCCCGUUCCAUUGGCCCCCCUGCGGAUCUAUUCUGAAAUUGACAAUGCCUUUUUCCUUGACUCCUUCCCACCCCCUUACCCCCAACCAACUUCUCAUCCUGAUCCCUCACAGCCGCCUGCCCCAGCAGACCCCUGAGUGGCCUCUGAGACAGGACCAGCGGGAGGGACUCGUAGCCGCAGGGGCUGGCCGUAGCCCAGAGGGAAGUGAAUCUAGACCAGAUUCCACUGUUGCUUUGCCUUUAAGAGCUUAUGUAGGAGGACCUACUCCUGCCCCUGGGCAGUUAGUUCCAUUGCAGUACUGGCCGUUUUCAUCGGCCGAUAUGUAUAACUAGAAGACCAAUCACCCCUCUUUUUCAGAGAAUCCCUCAGGAUUAACAGGAAUCCUUGAGUCCCUAAUGUUCUCCCACCAGCCCACUUGGGAUGACUGCCAGCAACUUUUGCAGGUCCUCUUUACAACUGAAGAGAGAGAGAGGAUCCUGCUAGAAGCCAGAAAAAAUGUCCCAGGACCAGAUGGGAUCCCCACUAAUCUCCCCGACCUUAUAGAUGCAGCUUUCCCCUUGGCCCGUCCUGCCUGGGACUUCAAUACUGCGGAAGGUAGGGAGCAUCUCACAGUCUACCGCCGGACUCUAGUGGCGGGGAUAAAGGGGGCCGCACGGCGACCCACCAAUUUGGCCAAGAUUACACCCGAGCAGUCAACCUCUGUUCGCUUUUGAGUGGCAAGACCCUGAAGGAGGAUAUACGGGUCAGCUAACCUGGACUAGGCUGCCACAGGGGUUCAAAAAUUCACCCACUCUUUUUGAUGAAGCGCUCCACCGUGACCUUGCGCCUUUCAGGGCACAAAACCCCCAAAUUUCUCUCCUGGAGUAUGUAGAUGACUUACUCCUUGCAGCUUCAACCCAGGAACUGUGCCUCAACGGGACCAAAAAGCUUCUAAAUGAACUAGGCCUUAGAAGUUGUCAGAACACAGAUCCGGGACCAGAUCAAAGAAGCCUACACACUGGGGACCACUGCAGUGCCCCACGGGUUCCAAGUCAGGGACUCGGUCCUGGUCCGACAACAUUGCGCUGCCACGCUUGAGCCCCGGUGGAAGGGACCUUAUCUAGUGCUGCUGACCACCCCCACAGCUGUAAAGGUAGACGGGAUCGCCGCCUGGAUCCACGCCUCCCACAUAAAAAAGGUACCCAACCAGGAUGAAGACGACCGCGGAGAAAAUUGGAUGGUGGCCGCUACUGAUAAUCCUCUUAAACUGUGCCUUCGCUGUAGCCCCAACCUUGGGUAAUAAUCCUCAUGCUCCCAUGACUCUGACAUGGGAGGUCAUCUCUCAAGCCGGAGAUACUGUAUGGAGUACUUCAAAGGUGCCCCCCCCCCUAUACAUGGUGGCCCCCUCUGUUCCCUGAAAUCUGUGCCCUGAUAGCUGGAUUAGACGCUUGGGAUAUCCCUGAAGAGUCACAUGAAACGGUGCCCCAAGAUGAGGUAAUCUAUCAAAAGCAGUCAUAUCACCAGGGGUUAAGUUCCCAAGGACAGUACAUUGCAGAUAUACCAGGCUGUAGUGGUAGGUCUAAACAGAGGAGACUCCGUCAGGAGCCCUUUUAUGUCUGUCCCAGGGAUAGGGUAAAUAAAAAAGAGGCUCGCCAGUGUGGGGGAAUAGAGGGCUUCUUCUGUAGUCAGUGGGGAUAUGAAACCACUGGUACCACUCAUUGGCACCCUUCCUCUAGCUGGGGUUUUAUUAUAGUAUCCAGACGAAAUAAGGGCCAUGACUCCUUAAACAUCACUUUUACUCAAAAAGGAAAAGAGACAAAAAAGAUUGGAUAAAGGGAAGACAGUGGGGCCUAAGAUUUUAUGUGACAGGGACGGACCCUGGAUUCACAUUUAAGAUCUGGCUAAAGAUAAAGAGUCCCCCAACCCAGUCAGUAGGACCUAAACCCGUCCUUGUUAAAAAACCUCCAAUGCCCCUUCCCAGACCUACCUUCCCCGGACCUACCCUAGUUGGUCCAGCUAUUCCAACAGAAGUCUAUAUCCCUUCCUCAGACCUGAAACCUACAUCGUCCACUACUCCCCCAGAUACUGAAAACCGUCUGUUUAGCCUGGUACAGGGGGCUUUUUUGGUACUCAAUCGUACCAAUCCCAACAUCACUCAGUCUUGUUGGCUGUGUUAUGCCUCCAAUCCCCCAUAUUAUGGAUGCAGACCUAGGAGCGCUAAAGCAGUCCAUCACCAAACUCGAAGAAUCUUUGACCUCGUUAUCAGAGGUAGUGCUACACAGAACAGGAGGGGGAAAGAUCUUCUUUUUCUUAAAGAAGGUGGACUCUGCAGCACUAAAAGAAGAGUGCUGUUUUUAUAUAGACCAUUCUGGUGUUAUCAGGGACUCCAUGGCUAAGCUCAGAGAAAGGUUAGAAAAACGAAACAAAGAAAGAGAAGCAUAUCAAGGAUGGUAUGAAAAUUGGUUUAACAGGUCUCCCUGGUUUACUACACUUAUAUCCACCCUGGCAGGCCCUCUGAUUAUCCUUUUCCUCCUGCUUACUUUUGGGCCAUGUAUUUUAAAUAAGCUGGUUGCUUUUGUUAAAGAUAGAAUAAACGCCAUACAAGUCAUGGUCCUCAGACAGCAAUAUCAGACUCUUCAACAAGAAAAAGAAAGGUCACUCUAAGAUUAGAGCUAUCCACAAAAAGAAGUGGGGAAUGAAGAGCAAAAGCUUAUAAUUUUGGGUCUUUUAGCAUUGUGGUAUCUAAGUUCAAGAAAUUCAGGGCUAAAGAAUAGACCCAGGCGGGUCCAGGCACAGCCAAACCCACCCUGUAGCUAAGAAUGUCCUGCCAUAAAAGAUAAAGAAAAGAAUGCAGGAACUAGCCAAGGCUAUCAGGACAGACCAAAUGGCCAUCUGGCAGGAUGGCGCCUCCUGGGCGGCGCCUCCCUAUAGCCCCCCAUAAAUCAUACAUUGACCAGGUGUCCUGCUGACCUUGAGAAGUCCCAAGCCCUUGUGCCUCCCUACACCUUAGCCGGCACGUAUUACCCUGUUAAUUUGUAAUCACCCCGCCAACAUUUAAAUAAGCCAAUCAUGUGUGACCACGCAAAUUUUUUCAGCUCCCCCCUUUUGGUUUGUAGUUUUUGCCUUUAUAAGCCUGUAAAAAGUUUGGGCCAGGGUCGAACUCCCCUGCCCCCUGUGCAGUGCAUGAGUUUCGACCCCAGCAUGCUGGCUUGAGUGCUCCUUUGUUGUUUGUGUGUUUGUGUGCCAUUAAAGCCUCGUGUAGUUACAGCGAGUUCGGUCUCAGUGUCCUACUGGGUGCGCACCUCCCAGAGGUCCUGUGUCAUUUAUCCAGAGGGACUCCCCACGGGGGUCUUUCAGCAACAGAGUUUCUACUAACUGAAUAAUGAAACCGUCCCUAUACACUGGUCCUCAACAGUUAAACUCAGGCACAAUACCUUGCUACCUAAGGUACCACAUCUCCAUUGCCCUAAUUUUGGGCUGACUUUCUUGUCCUCCACCAAGGAGUUGUGUGUUGAGGUUUGGUGUUUUGCUAUAAAUUGUCAUGUUAAAACUGGCCCCCAAGGCCUGGUUGCCCCCAAGGAGGAGAAAAAUCUGUGUGUAGAUCCAAGUGACCUUACCUCCUAACUUAUCCCUGAUUGGUGGAUAAAAUGCCUACAGCUUAUAUCUGGGCAGAACUGAAAUAGGCAGGGCCUGACUUGGAGUCAGAUGAGAGCCAUGAGGGAGGGAGUAGAAGGUGGAGAAAGGAGGAAGCCACCAUGGGGUGGGUAAAUCAUGAGAUCAUGGCCAGUUGGAGUUAAGAGCUGCCCAGAUGGAACAAGACAAAGUAUAGCUUGGGGUUAUAGAUGGGGAAAUAGAUGAUGAUAGCAUAGAGGGUAGAUUUCUGCCUGGCUCUAGUGCCGACUAGGCUUAUUAUAAAUAGAAAGGUCCUGUGUCAUUUAUCCAGGAACUGAAUGGUCAAAGGGGGGUUAGAAGCCCUGGAUUGAGAUGAACUAUUUCUACAGCAGAUGUGUUCCACUGCCAAUGAGGCUCUGGCUGCCGGUCUAGGUGUUGGAAGGGGGCCUGUUUUGCUUCUGGUGCUGCUCUCAAGGCCAGCCUGGCCUCAGCUACCAGUGAGACACAGACUGAGCCACUCACAUUCCCAUAUUUGCUCCAUCCUAAGCUUGUGUGUGUGUGGUAACCUCGAGGAUGGAGAGAGGAUACAGUGCUUACAGCACUAGGCUCCAGAGUCCAGCACUGGUCUGAGCCUCUGGCCCUUUGCACUUCCUGUGUCAGUGUUUCUAUUUUAGGCUGCUUGUUCCUCCCUGGGGAUUCUCUGCGAGCCUGUGGGAAACCCAGGAAGGCAAGCACUAUAGCCACAACCUGAUCUAUAGUCUUUGCUUCAGUUCUCCAGUUUCUUACUGUGCGUAGAGGGGGUUGGGGGACGCAGUACAUGCAACAAACACAGUUCAUCCAUCCCCUCGCAAUAUGCCUCUGAUUGGCAGGGCAAACCCUAUCACCACAUAAUCCCAAAAGAGUGGAACACUGCAGUUCAAGCGUGCUCAAGAGGCAGCCCCAGGAGAGGAAGGGGGGCUGGAGAGGAAACUCUUGGGUAACAGGCAGCCUGAGACAGUCACUGCUGUGGGAACUGUAGUAAGAGAAUGACAUCUGACUCCUACCCCACCAGAGCCAGUGAGGCUAAGGAGGCAGGAAGAGCAGGGUCAGGCCUUCGUGUGCCAUUGCUGACACUUUCUCUGAGUCCCAUUUUUAUCAUCUGUACACAGCAAAAGGCUGGAUGAGAUUAAAGUUCUCCUAUGAGUGGAAGUAGGGGGCUCAGCAAAAUAAAACAGUAAACAGUCGGUGCUCAGAAAGGAACAUACCCUGACAUGAUUGACAGAACGGGUACGCCUAGGCAGAACACAGGAUGCCAAAUUCCUAUUUCACGAAAGAUGGUGUUCUGGGGAGUGAAGUACCGGCAGGUGCUGGCUUGAGCUUGUAUGCCCAAAUGUCCAUAAAAAGCCAGGCACUGUGACAUCCAUGUGCAACCCCGGCACUGGGCAGGUGGAGACGGAUAUCCCAGGAGCUGGCUGGCUAUCCAGUCUUAGCAAUGCUGUGAGCAUCAGGUUCAGGGAGAGACCCUGCCCCCAACCCCAACCCCUCCCUCCCAAAUAAGGUGGUCCAUGCCUUUAAUCUUAGCACUAUGAAGGCAGCGUCAGGAAGAUCUCUGUUACUCCAAGGCCAGCCUGGUCUAUGCAGUUCUGGGUUAGUUAGUCCCAAGUGAGACCCUGUCUCAAGCAAAACAGAACAAUAGUAAUAAAGAUAAUUAAUAUUAAUAGUAAAAAUAUUCCAGUGGUGGUGGCGGUGGCGCAGCCUUUAAUCUUAGCAUUUGGGGGACAGGAGGAUCUCUGAGUCGGAAGCCAACCUGGUCUACAGAGCGCGUUCCAGGACACCCAAAGCUGCACAGAGAAACCCUGUUUUAAAAAAGGAAAAGAAAACUAUUCCCUGGGCCUCAGGGCCUCUGAGCUUCUCAGGGCUGUCACAUCUGCCUUUCUUUGUCAAGUCCUUUCUCGUCUAGGAAGCUCAACCUGAGCCCAGGUGGGAGGAGCCACUGAGACAGAGCUAGGUGCGGCCUGACUUUGGAAGCAGGGCCACAUUCCUGAGAUUCUUCCUCUAAGACCCGGCCCCGGCUGAUCUUAGGGCCAGAUGGUCUUGAGACACAUCCGGUGCUGUGGCUGGGCUCCCAGCACCACCUGGAGGUAAGGAGAGUCCCAAUCCAGCAACUUUGGCCUGCAGUUUGCUGGAAACAGUAUAGUUUAGAGCUUCAACCCAGCGGACAUUCCAGUUGUUGGUUGAGUGCUGUUAUCUUCCCUCAGCAGCUACCUGGGUGGUGAGCAGAUGGAUCUUUUUGUUUGUUUGUUUUGAGACAGGGUUUCUCUGUGUAGCCCUGGCUGACCUGGAACUCACUCUGUAGACCAGGCUGGCCUAAAACUCAGAAAUUCCCCUGCCUCUGCCUCCCAAGUGCUGGGAUUAAAGGCGUGUGCCACCACUGCCCGGCAUGAUUUUUAAAAAUAUAUUUUAAAUUAUUGUUUUAGGGGGGUGUUGACUCAGGGUUUCUCUGUGUAGCUCUGACUAUUCUGGAACUUAUCCUGUAAACCAGGCUGGCCUCAAACCCAGAGAUCCAAUUUGCCUUCCCCUGUCUCCUAAGUACACACUUGGCUUAUUUGUUUGUUUGUUUAUGUACUUUGGAGACAGGGACUCACUGAAUAGCUUUGGCUGGCCAAGAAUUCACUAUGUAUACCAAACUGACCUCAAACUCAUAGCUAUCAAUCUGCUUAUGAUUCCAGAGUGCUGGGAUUAAAGAUGUGUACUGUAAAGAUACAGUUUUAUUAUUUUAAUCAUGUGUAUGUGUGCCUCUUUGUGCCAGGGAAAAGAAUGAAGGUGCCUGCUGAAGCUAGAAGCACUGGAUACCCCGAAGCUGGACGUACAGUUAUGAGCCCUGAUAUGGAAGGGUGCCAGCUUGGGUCUACAAAAGUGGUAUAUGCACUUAACCUUUGAGCCGUCUCUUAGCUCCUGAUCUGGAAUUUUGUUUGUUUGUAGCUUGUUUUUUUUUUUUAAUUUUUUAAAAUUUUUAAUUUUUUUUUGUUUUUGUUUUUUUCUAGACAGGGUUUCUCUGUAUAGCCUUGGCUGUCCUGGAGCUCACUUUGUAGACCAGGCUGGCCUCAAACUCAGAAAUCUGCCUGCCUCUGACCCCUGAGUGCUAGGAUUAAAGGCGUGCACCACCACGCCCGGCUUUUUUUUUUUUUUUUUUUUUAAUUAUCAACUGUAAUCCUGUUAGGUGCCCUCAAGAAACCACCCCGUAGUCUCCUUUAGUCCUUAGCUACUCUUGGAAGAUAAUUAAUUCCCUAGACCCUCACCUAAAUUCUUUAUAUUUAAGCAUUGCAAAGACAAUAAACUAUGACUUUAAUGGAAGCCCACACAAGCUCUUAGGUAUGUCCCUCAACUUUCUAAGAUCCUGUCUUUCUCUUAACUCUUCUGCUGAAAAUGUUAUUUUAAGAUAGAUUCAAUGAAUCCGGACUCCGCUUCACACUGGCUCCUUCUGAAAUCCUUUUCGAUGUUGAAGCCAAAGAUCUAGUUUUAUCUCUAAUUGGAGUUCCCUAAAAGUUUAAGGGACAUUGCUCAGGAAACUGCAAGUGACAGCAUGGAGCUCUGUCUCUGUCCCUGUCACUUAUCAUCUGGACACUUGAGUCAGCAACCAAGCUGCGGCAGAGCAGGACUGCUGACUCUGGUACACAGGACACAGGGGGCAGAAAGACAUGGUGGCAGGAAGGUGCUAAGGACAGGAAAGAGGUCCAGGAUAGACGAAUCCUACAAACAUGCUAGCUGCCCCCAGAGAGUUGCCAGGGAAAAGAAUUUACACACACUAAAAACCCCAGUCUUUGCCUACCUGGGCUGGCAUUCAGCAUCAGGUUCUU